GCCUGGGUGGCUCAGUCAGUUGAGCGUCUGACUUCAGCUCAGGUCAUGAUCUCGUGGUCUGUGAGUUCGAGCCCCGCCUCAGGCU
rnacentral:tRNA from 1 species